GGUACAAAGGGGUCCCUUUGUACUUAGCAAGGCAAUGUGUGCACAUUGCCUUGUUAGGUACAAAGGGGUCCCUUUGUACU
rnacentral:miRNA from 1 species